GCCUAUAUAAUUAAAUGGUAUAAUAUCCGUUUUACAAGCGGAGAUUGGUGGUUCAAUUCCAUCUAUAGGUA
rfam:Trichoplax adhaerens isolate Grell Red Sea mitochondrion, complete genome.